GAUGAACGCUGGCGGCGUGCCUAAUACAUGCAAGUCGAGCGAAGCGGGGACGGGUGAGUAAUACGUGGAUAACCUCCUAUAAGACUGGGAUAACUUCGGGAAACCGGAGCUAACCCCGAUACUUCUAGAUGGAUCUUAGCUGCAUUAGCUAGUUGGUAAGGUAACGGCUUACCAAGGCUACGAUGCAUAGCCGACCUGAGAGGAUGAUCGGCCACACUGGAACUGAGACACGGCCCAGACUCCUACGGGAGGCAGCAGUAGGGAAUCUUCCGCAAUGGGCGAAAGCCUGACGGAGCAACGCCGCGUGAGUGAUGAAGGUCUUCGGAUCGUAAAACUCUGUUAUUAGGGAAGCGGUACCUAAUCAAAAAGCAACGGCUAACUACGUGCCAGCAGCCGCGGUAAUAC
rnacentral:rRNA from 1 species